rnacentral:rRNA from 1 species
UGAGGGAUAUUGCACAAUGGAGGGAACUCUGAUGCAGCAAUGCCGCGUGAGUGAAGGAGGCCCUAUGGGUUGUAAAGCUCUGUGGAAGGGGAAAAUAAUGAUGGUACCCAUUUAGAAAGCACCGGCUAACUACGUGCCAGCAGCCGCGGUAAUACGUAGGGUGCAAGCGUUGUUCGGAAUUACUGGGCGUAAAGGGGGAGUAGGCGGAAAGAAAAGUCAGAUGUGAAAGCCCUGUGCUUAACGCAGGAAGAGCAUUUGAAACUAUCUAACUAGAGUGUAUUAUGGGAGCGUGGAAUUCCUAGUGUAGCGGUGAAAUGCGUAGAUAUUAGGAGGAAGACUCGUGGCGAAGGCGACGCUCUGGGGUAACACUGACGCUGAGGACCGAAAGCAUGGGGAGCAAACA